rnacentral:rRNA from 1 species
GACGAACGCUGGCGGCGUGCCUAACACAUGCAAGUCGAGCGGGGUUGAAGCGAGGGGUAACUCGAGUUUCUACCUAGCGGCGGACGGGUGAGUAACGCGUGGGCAACCUGCCUCAAGGACUGGGAUAACAGCUCGAAAGGGCUGCUAAUACCGGAUAAGCCUAUGGCCUCGCAUGGGGCCAUGAGCAAAGGGGAAACCCGCCUUGAGAUGGGCCCGCGUCCCAUCAGCUAGUUGGUGAGGUGAAGGCUCACCAAGGCGACGACGGGUAGCCGGCCUGAGAGGGUGACCGGCCACACUGGGACUGAGACACGGCCCAGACUCCUACGGGGGGCAGCAGUGGGGAAUCUUGCACAAUGGGCGAAAGCCUGAUGCAGCGACGCCGCGUGAGCGAAGAAGGCCUCGGUGUAAAGCUCUGUCUGGAGGGACGGAAGGAAGGUGACGGUACCUCCGGAGGAAGGCCACGGCUAACUACGUGCCAGCAGCCGCGGUAAUAGUCACGUCGC